rnacentral:misc_RNA from 1 species
UACGGAGGGUGCUAGCGUUAAUCGGAAUUACUGGGCGUAAAGCGCGCGUAGGCGGUUUGAUAAUCCAGAUGUGAAAGCCCCGGGCUUAACCUGGGAACUGCAUUUCGAACUGUCAGGCUCGAGUGUGGGAGAGGGUAGUGGAAUUUCCUGUGUAGCGGUGAAAUGCGUAGAUAUAGGAAGGAACACCAGUGGCGAAGGCGGCUACCUGGACCAACACUGACACUGAGGUGCGAAAGCGUGGGGAGCAAACUCG